rnacentral:rRNA from 1 species
ACUACGGGUGGCAGCAGUGGGGGAUAUUGCACAAUGGGGGGAACCCUGAUGCAGCGACGCCGCGUGGGUGAAGAAGCGCCUCGGCGCGUAAAGCCCUGUCAGCAGGGAAGAAAAUGACGGUACCUGAAGAAGAAGCCCCGGCUAACUACGUGCCAGCAGCCGCGGUAAUACGUAGGGGGCAAGCGUUAUCCGGAUUUACUGGGUGUAAAGGGGGCGCAGACGGCGAUGCAAGCCAGGAGUGAAAGCCCGGGGCCCAACCCCGGGACUGCUCUUGGAACUGCGUGGCUGGAGUGCAGGAGGGGCAGGCGGAAUUCCUGGGGUAGCGGUGAAAUGCGUAGAUAUCAGGAGGAACACCGGUGGCGAAGGCGGCCUGCUGGACUGCAACUGACGUUGAGGCCCGAAAGCGUGGGGAGCAAACAGGAUUAGAUACCCGAGUAGUC